UACGUAGGGUGCAAGCGUUAUCCGGAAUUAUUGGGCGUAAAGAGCUCGUAGGCGGUUUUGUCGCGUCUGCUGUGAAAAACUGGAGGCUCAACCUCCAGCCUGCAGUGGGUACGGGCAGGCUAGAAUUCGGUAGGGGGGAGACUGGAAAUUCCUGGUGUAGCGGUGAAAAUGCGCAGAUAUCAGGAGGAACACCGGUGGCGAAGGCGGCGAUCUGGGUCGAUACUGACGCUGAGGUGCGAAAAGCGUGGGGGGAGCAAACAGG
rnacentral:rRNA from 1 species